CAUGCACACGGUGGUCGUCUGUUCACCCUUGUUAGACCUGCACUCACCCCACUGUGUUAGCUUUUAUUUACCUGAUUUAAUGUCGCUCCUGUGCACAGGGGUGAUGCACGCUCCUGUUUAUUGUUCUUGAUGAGAUGUAUAUUUCUCCUUUAAAACCUCAGUCGUUCUCCCCCUCUAUCUCUGCCCUCCCCAACCCCAUCUAAUUCGAGGUGGGGGGGGGGUGGGGGGCAGUCCCAAGUACUGCGGCCGAAAACAGUAUGAAAUGCACCCGCUGUCCACAUUGGAGAGAGCUGACAGGAUUUCAAAGCGCGGAAAUGGAAAUCAGAAGCGGAGCCGGAUGUGGCUGGACACACCGUCCCAAGGGAAUGUUUGACAGGUAGUGGCUCGCGCAUCCCUGUAGGAGCUGUCAUCUUGGCGGGGGAAAAAAGCGAGGAGCCGAGCGGCUUGCUAAGAGACGUCCGAUGGAGGAGAUAUGAGGCUCCUGAACACAUACGUGGAAAAGUACAAGUACCGAAGGGCCGCAGUCGACGGCCAUAAUUGUCUGUUUCAGGAAUAUAAGCAGGAGGAUGCAUCCGUCAAGGAAUUGAAGAAACACACAACAAGACCCAAGACCUUGCAUGAAUCAGAAUGCGAGAGUUCCUCUUUGCACAGGAGGUGAGUCUCCACUACAAACAGGACGGCAAGUCAUCCAACACCUAUAGUAACGAUCCAUCUACAGUAGGACCACCAUAAAGCU